rnacentral:rRNA from 1 species
CUUCGAUAGGUAGGGGUCCUGAGAGGGAGAUCCCCCACACUGGUACUGAGACACGGACCAGACUCCUACGGGAGGCAGCAGUGAGGAAUAUUGGACAAUGGAGGCAACUCUGAUCCAGCCAUGCCGCGUGCAGGAAGACGGCCCUAC